CUAAUUCUUCAUUCUGGAGAGCGAAUCAGGAAACAAGACCAUGUGACCCAGGAGCGUUUACACCGAGAGUUCGAUACGCUUGAUGAAGUGUGAAAGCUGUUUUCAAUCCCGGGAGCAGUACAGAGAACAGAUCUUUGGUCCUCUUGGUCUGGGGCCAAGCAACGUGAUCGCUUCAACUUGUCACGUUACUUCCUGUUUCAAGUUGCGUGAUGAACGAGACCGACACUGCGUUUGUAGGUCUUCCUGUUACACGAGCACGCCAUGUAUCCAAACCUGUGAUUACGAUCCCCACCCCAAUAACGAGCCCACGGUCGGUUCCGAGUAUGAAAAGUAUGAUCGUAUGAAAACGUCCUCAGGAAUUUAGGGUUCGUGUAUGUGCUAGGGUUUUGUUUUGCUAGCUCAAGCAUGAAGAAAAUGAAGUCAUGCAACAAUCAA